rnacentral:rRNA from 1 species
UACGUAGGGGGCUAGCGUUGUCCGGAAUCAUUGGGCGUAAAGCGCGCGUAGGCGGCCAGAUAAGUCCGGUGUGAAAGCCACAGGCUCAACCUGUGAAUGCCGCUGGAAACUGUCUGGCUAGAGUCCGGGAGGGGCGAGUGGAAUUCCUGGUGUAGCGGUGAAAUGCGCAGAAAUCAGGAGGAACACCAAUGGCGAAGGCAGCUCGCUGGAACGGAACUGACGCUGAGGCGCGAAAGCGUGGGGAGCGAACAGG